rnacentral:lncRNA from 1 species
ACAAGCUCCCACAAGAAAACGUUUUCUUCAUUUCAAAACCAAGUCAAGUUCGUUUCAAUUUCAAGUAAAUUCAGUUUAAAUUUCGCGAAAGCAGAUUCAUUCAAAUAAUUCAAGAAACAGGUAUGUUAAGGCUAAGCCCUUCCUUCAUUUUGGCACGAUCUUGUAAUUACAUGAGUUUGAUAAUGCGACAUAAAGAGAAGUUCAUACUCCCAAAUUUAUAUACAUUAUCUUACUCUCAUAAAUUAUAGUAUUUUUCCACUACCAAUAAUGAAUUAAAACAAUUUGUGCAGUGCUCCAUUUACUUACUGGAAAAACCCACAUCACUUUUAAAAGAGUGGAAGGAACUUUUUAAAAGACAAUAAAAAUCUCAAAAUUUUAUAGCUAUCCACUCUAUGACUCAUAUAUAAGUAAUUCCUCCAAGAUAUAAUAUUUGUUGGCCCGGUUAUGAUUUAUAUUGUUGUUGUUGUCUAUAAAGUUUUUGGAACAACUUAAAGUUGCUUUCUCACUUAGUCAUAUGAUUUAUAUUGUUGUUGCCGUGUAUAAAGUUUUUGGAACAACUUAAAGUUGCUUUCUCACUUAGUCACUAUAAUUAAUAAUUUCCUAAGUCCGCAAGUAUGUAGGUAAAUGUACUUCAACAACUAUUUUUGUUAUAUACUUGCCCUUGUCUAGAUUCCAACAGACUUUAGUAACAGCUACAACGAUGCCAUUCACAUUCACAGGACUUCAGAUUCAUUUGAGUACUUCCUUCUCUUAGUCAACAGAGCAGAGAGGUUACAUAUAUACAGUAUUAAAAGUAUUUUUAUUACCAUCGAGCUAUAAUCGAUGGGCAGGCUCCUAUUGGGCAACCUCUGAUCAGAUGGUAAGUUAUAUGACGAUCCUACUGUGGCCGAGCGCAUAUGGGCGAGCCCAGUUGAUCGAGAUACAGAGCCUAGUAUGGCCGAGCGCUUAUGAGCGAGCGUACUACGGCAAAGCAGAUAUAUAUGUAUACCGAGCCUUAUAGGGUCGGAUAGCUAUUUUACUUACUAUAUUGAGAGAAUUGAGUCAGUAUUAUCAGAUGAGCAUAUCUUCGAGUUUUCUUUGACUCCCAGUUGUUCUCAGUUGUUAUAUUAUCAAUUCAAUUUCAGUUUCAGUUUCAGUAUAUUGCCGUACAUACUCGGUACAUUAUUUCGUACUGACGUCCCUUUCUGGGGACGCUGCAUUUUAUGCAUGCAGGGUCAGACAGACAGACGGGUAGACCUCCUCAGUAGGUGUUGCCCGAGAUCAGCUUUAUCGGUAAGCUCCCCUUCUUUCGGAGUUACCGGGUCUAGCAGUGUGGUGUGCAUCUUGUGUUUAUAUGUAGAUAGGUUAUGGGUAGGUCGGGGCCUUGUUCCGAUCAUAGUACAUCUAUUAUUAGAGGCUUGUAGAUAUGUCGUGUCAGUUAAUACCGUAUGUUGGUCUGGUAGGCCCUGUACGUAUAUUUUGUUAGCUUGUCAGUUGUAGUAAAUGUGACGACCUUGCCGGCCCAGCCUUAUGUUGAUGGUGAGUUAGUGUUAGUCUCUAUUCAGUUUUAUAUUUUACAACGCACAUUUUCUUGCAGACCAUGUCAUAAAUUAUGACAUUACAUGUUCAAAGUCUCUGAGUCACAGGUGAUACGCAAGGAUAGUUGAGGCACUGAGUGCCAGUCUCGCUCCCAGGUUCGGGGCGUGACAAAAGUGGUAUCAGAGCAGUUCUAUCCUAGGGAGUCUACAAGUCGUGUCUAGUAGGGUCUUGUUUAUAAAUGUGUGGUGCACCACAUUAUAUAAGCAAGGGACUACAAUGCAUCUAGGAGUUGGUUACCUUUUUUUUCAAAUAUAAAUCGUGUUGUAGCACUGAGUUGUAGAAAUUUUGAGUUAAACUUACGUAUUGACAUUUGCAUGCACAGAUGGUGAUAACUAGGAAGACUACAACUAGUCAGAGGAGAGAACCAGUAGUGGGUGAGGGGACUAGCAGGGUACCCCCAACAGCUGGGGCCCAAUCGGAGUCGCAGGGAGAGACCCCUACUCAGCAAUUACCGGCUCCUCCGCCACCUGAGGAGAUUCCUAGGGAGACCACACAUCUAGUUCCCCCUCCGCUUCCCUCAGAUCAGGACUUGAAGGGUGUGGUGCAUUUGUUGGCAUAGUUGGUAGCUACCCAGCAACAGGCUAGGGCAUUUUCUAGUGCAGGACCUUCUGAGGGAUCUGGGAGUUCAAGGGUCCGAGAAUUUUAUUGCUUUGAAUCCCCCAGAGUUCACGGGGACAGAUCNNNNNNNNNNNNNNNNNNNNNNNNNAGACUUUAGUAACAGCUACAACGAUGCCAUUCACAUUCACAGGACUUCAGAUUCAUUUGAGUAUUUCCUUCUCUUAGUCAACAGAGCAGAGAAGUUACAUAUAUACAGUAUUAAAAGUAUUUUUAUUACCAUCGAGCUAUAAUCGAUGGGCAGGCUCCUAUUGGGCAACCUCUGAUCAGAUGGUAAGUUAUAUGACGAUCCUACUGUGGCCGAGCGCAUAUGAGCGAGCCCAGGUGAUCGAGAUACAGAGCCUAUUAUGGCCGAGCGCUUAUGAGCGAGCCUACUACGGCAUAGCAGAUAUAUAUGUAUACCGAGCCUUAUAGGGUCGGACAGCUAUUUUACUUACUAUAUUGAGAGAAUUGAGUCAGUAUUAUCAGAUGAGCAUAUCUUCGAGUUUUCUUUGACUCCCAGUUGUUCUCAGUUGUUAUAUUAUCAAUUCAAUUUCAGUUUCUGUUUCAGUUUCAGUAUAUUGCCGUACAUACUCGGUACAUUAUUUCGUACUGACGUCCCUUUCUGGGGACGCUGCAUUUUAUGCAUGUAGGGUCAGACAGACAGACGGGUAGACCUCCUCAGUAGGUGUUGCCCGAGAUCAGCUUUAUCGGUAAGCUCCCCUUCUUUCGGAGUUACCGGGUCUAGCAGUGUGGUGUGCAUCUUGUGUAUAUAUGUAGAUAGGUUAUGGGUAGGUCGGGGCCCUGUUCCGAUCAUAGUACAUCUAUUAUUAGAGGCUUGUAGACAUGUCGUGUCAGUUAAUACCGUAUGUUGGUCUGGUAGGCCCUGUACGUAUAUUUUGUUAGCUUGUCAGUUGUAGUAAAUGUGACGGCCUUGCCGGCCCAGCCUUAUGUUGAUGGUUAGUCAGCGUUAGUCUCUAUUUAGUUUUAUAUUUUACAUCGCACAUUUUCUUGCAGGCCAUGUCCAAAAUUAUGACAUUACAUGUUCAAAGUCUCUGAGUCACAGGUGAUACGCAAGGAUAGUUGAGGCACUGAGUACCAGUCUCGCUCCCAGGUUCGGGGCGUGACAAUAGUGGUAUCAGAGCAGUUCUGUCCUAGGGAGUCUACAAGCCGUGUCUAGUAGGGUCUUGUUUAUAAAUGUGUGGUGCACCACAUUAUAUAAGCAAGGGACUACAGGGCAUCUAGGAGUUGGUUACCUUUUUUUUCAAAUCUAAAUCGUGUUGUAGCACUGAGUUGUAGAAAAUUUGAGUUAAACUUACGUAUUGACAUUUGCAUGCACAUAUGGUGAUAACUAGAAAGACUACAACUAGUCAGAGGAGAGAACCAGUAGUGGGUGAGGGGACUAGCAGGGUAACCCCAACAGCUGGGGCCCAAUCGGAGUCGCAGGGAGAGACCCCUACUCAGCAAUUACCGGCUCCUCCGCCACCUGAGGAGAUUCCUAGGGAGACCACACAUCCAGUUCCCCCUCCGCUUCCCUCAGAUCAGGACUUGAGGGGUGUGGUGCAUUUGUUGGCACAGUUGGUAGAUACCCAGCAACAGGCUAGGGCAUCCUCUAGUGCAGGACCUUCUGAGGGAUCUGGGAGUUCAAGGGUCCGAGACUUUAUUGCUUUGAAUCCCCCAGAGUUCACGGGGACAGAUCAGAGGGAGGACCCGCAGGAUUUCAUAGAUCAGCUUCAUAGGAUUUUUCGGGUUAUGCAUACCACGGAGAAAGAGGCAGUUGAGUUAGCAGCUUUUCGAUUCCGAGAUAUAGCCAUCCUUUGGUAUGAGGGAUGGGAAAGGUCCAGGGGACGUAAUGCCCCUCCUGCUAUUUGGGAGGAUUUUUCAAAUGCCUUCCUCGACCAGUAUUUACCACGAGAAAUCUGAUAGGCCCGACUCGAUCAGUUUCUUGCACUCAAGCAGGGCAAUAUGAGUGUUCGAGAAUAUAGUCUUCUUUUUGACUCCUUGGCCAGAUAUGCACCAUCCAUAGUUGCUACUAUUCAGGAUAGAAUCCACAGGUUUAUAGCGGGGUUGGCCCCAUAGUUGACCGAGGCGUGUGCCACCGCUGCAUUACAGGAUAGUAUGGAUAUCUCACGAAUUUAGGCAUUUGCCCAAAAUAUAGAAAGGGGUAGGCGUCGACAGCAGAAUGUGGAGAGGACUGAGUCAGGGCAACGUAAAAGAAUGAGAUUUGUCAGGUCGCAGGAGCAGUAUCAGGGGAGCUACCGGCCCCAGUACUUCAAACGACCACCUAGACCUCCGCCACCUCAGCUACAGGGGUACAGGAAUGACCGCUAUACUCAGUCAGGACCAGGUGAGAGCCCCCAGGCGUCAGGGUUGCAGCAACAAUGAGGUUUGAGACAGACAGGGCCAUUUCAGCCGCGAUGUGCCAUCUGCGAUCAAAGACACUUGGGCCAAUGCCGAGCCGGUUCUGAUGCUUGUUAUACAUGUGGACGUCCAGGGCAUAUGAUGCGAGAUUGCCCAAACAAGGAUUCUGGGGAUAUGGCGCAACCAGCAAAUUCAGCAACAGGAUCAGCUAUGUCUGUGCAUCCUUCAGGGCACGAGUCUCGGUCUUCGGCUGGUAGAGGUCGAGGUAGAGGUAGAGGGUUCAGUUCAGGUAGUAACCAGAAUCAUAUCUAUGCGCUAGCAGGUCGACAAGACCAAGAGUCUUCACCAGACGUUGUGACAGGUAUGUUGACUAUUUGUUCUCACGAUGUUUAUGCCUUGAUAGACCCAGGAUCUACCUUAUCAUGUAUUACCCCAUUUGUCGCGCGAAAAUUUGGUAUAGUGCCUGAAAUACUAAGUGAUCCUUUUACGGUAUCUACACCGGUCAGAGAAUCGAUUAUUGCUAGACGUGUUUACCGAGGUUGUACGAUAACAAUUUGUGGUCGUCAAACCUCAGCCGACCUAGUUGAACUAGAGAUGUUGGAUUUCGAUGUUAUCAUGGGCAUGGACUGGUUGGCAGCUUGUUAUGCCACGGUUGAUUGUCGAGCGAAGAUAGCUAUAUUUCAUUUUCCGAGUAAGCCAGUCCUCGAAUGGGUAGGUAAUACAGAGACACCCAGAGGCAGGUUUAUUUCCUAUUUGAAGGCAAGAAAAAUGAUCGCAAAAGGGUGCAUCUAUCACAUUGUGCGAGUUAAAGAUGCCGAUGCUGAGAAAUCUAUACUUCAGUCUAUUCCAGUAGUAAAGGAGUACGCGGAUGUAUUUACAGAUGAACUUCCAGGUAUUCCUCCAGAGCGAGAGAUUGAUUUUGCAAUCGAUUUGCUUCCGGGAACACAACCAAUAUCCAUCCCUCCAUAUAUAAUGGCAUCUGCCGAAUUAAAGGAGUUGAAGGAGCAAUUAAAAGAUUUACUGGAAAAAGGUUUUACUAGGCCUAGUACCUCACCUUGGGGUGCACCGGUAUUGUUUGUACGAAAAAAGGAUGGAUCGCUAAGGAUGUGUAUCGACUAUAGGCAACUGAACAUGGUAACUAUUAAGAAUAAGUACCCCCUUCCAAGGAUAGAUGACUUGUUUGAUCAGUUGCAGGGAUCUAGAUGCUUUUCAAAGAUAGAUUUGAGGUCGGGGUACCACCAGGUUAGAGUUCGGGAGGAAGAUAUCCCCAAGACCGCCUUCAGGACCCUAUAUGGACACUUUGAGUUUCUUGUUAUGUCCUUCGGGUUGACGAAUGCACCUGCCAUAUUUAUGGACUUGAUGAAUAGCCUAUUCCGACCAUAUUUAGAUCUGUUCGUGAUAGUCUUUAUUGAUGAUAUUCUGGUUUAUUCAUGUUCAGAGGAUGAGCAUGUAGAUCACCUACGAGCAGUACUCCAGACCCUCCGCGAUAAUAAAUUGUAUGCUAAGUUUUCUAAGUGUGAAUUCUGGCUAAAGUCCGUAGCAUUCUUGGGGCACAUUGUAUCCGACGGAGGUAUAAAGGUAGAUACUCAGAAGAUUGAGGCUGUGAAAUCCUGGCCUAGACCUACCACUCCGACAGAGAUUCAUAGCUUUCUAGGCUUAGCAGAAUAUUAUCGGAGGUUCGUAGAGGGGUUUUCUUCUCUUUCAGCACCAUUAACAAAACUGACGCAGAAAGCGACUAAGUUUCAGUGGACAGAGGCCUGUGAGCAGAGUUUCCAAAAUCUUAAGAACAGAUUGACCUCAGUGCCAGUUCUGGCACUUCUAGAUGGUCUAGAUGGUUAUGCCAUGUAUUGUGAUGCCUCAGGUGUCGGGUUAGGAUGUGUCCUAAUGCAACAUGGAAAAGUAAUUGCAUAUGCUUCAAGGCAGUUAAGGAAGCAUGAGCGGAAUUAUCCAACCCAUGACCUCAAGUUAGCUGUGGUUGUUCAUGCACUUAAGAUAUGGCGGCAUUAUUUAUAUGGUGUGCAUGUUGAUAUAUUCACAGAUCAUAAGAGCCUGCAAUAUAUCCUCAAGCAAAAAGAGUUGAAUUUGCGACAAAGACGAUGGCUUGAAUUAUUGAAAGACUACGAUUUUAACAUUCUCUACCAUCCAGGGAAAGCUAAUGUUGUAGCAGAUACUUUAAGUCGCCGAUCUAUGGGUAGCUUAACACAUGUAGAGGCCGAGAAAAGACAAUUGACAAGAGAGAUUCAUGAAUUGGCUUGUUUGGGGGUUCGAUUAGUGGACUGUGGCAAUGGAGGAGUUGUACUCCAAAAUACUGCAAAAUCAUCUCUCAUAGCUGAAGUCAAGGAGAGGCAAUACGAGGAUCCAGAGUUAGUCAAGUUGAGAGAGCGGGUUCCACAACAGAAGAAGCCGUUGCUAGAACUCAAAGGAGACGGGGUUCUCAGAUACAAGGGUCGUUUGUGUGUUCUAGAGGUAGCAGGGCCACUGGACAGGAUUAUGUCAGAAGCACAUUAUUCAUGGUAUUCUAUUCACCCUAGGUCGACAAAGAUGUAUCAUGACAUUAAGAAUGUGUAUUGGUGGAACGAUAUGAAAAAGAACAUUGCCGAGUAUGUCGCUCAAUGCCCUAGUUGCCAGUAGGUGAAAAUAGAGCACCAGAAGCCCGGAGGGCUAAUGCAGACUAUAGAGAUCCCGACAUGGAAAUGGGAGGCGAUUAACAUGGACUUUAUCACAGGUUUACCUCAUUCCCAUCAUAAGCUUGAUUCUAUAUGGGUGAUAGCCGAUAGGCUCACGAAAUCAGCUCAUUUCCUACCGGUCAGAUCUACCUAUACAGUAGAGGAUUACGCAAAAUUAUAUAUUAAGGAGAUAUUACGACUACACGGAGUACCCAUAUCCAUUAUAUCUGGCCGUGGGGCCCAGUUUACAACACAUUUUUGGAGGUCAUUUCAGAAAGGUCUAGGAACUCAGGUGAAUCUCAGCACAGUUUUUCAUCCACAAACAAUUGGACAAGUCGAGCGCACGAUUCAGACGCUCGAGGACAUGUUGCGAUCAUGUGUGCUGGAUUUUAAUAGAAGUUGGGAUGAACAUCUACCUCUUAUCGAGUUUUCAUAUAAUAACAGUUACCACUCCAGUAUCCAUAUGGCUCCGUACGAGGCUUUAUAUGGGUGCAGGUGCAGAUCUCCCAUAGGGUGGUUCGAUGUUGGAGAAUUCGGGUUAUAUGGGCCAGACCUGGUUCAACAGGCCAUAGAAAAAGUAAAGCUUAUCCGGGAGCGACUGUUGACAGCUCAUAGCCGACAGAAGUCAUAUUCUGACGUGCGGCGACAAGAUUUAGAGUACGAGGUUAAUGACUGGGUAUUCUUAAAGGUGUCACCUAUGAAAGGUGUAAUAAGAUUUGGCAAGAGAGGCAAGCUUAGCCCACGGUAUAUUGGGCUUUAUAAGAUCAUUCGUAGAGUGGGCCAAGUAGCUUACGAGUUAAAAUUGCCCUUGGAAUUGGAGUCUGUUCAUCCGGUUUUUCACGUAUCUAUGUUACGGAGGUGCAUUGGCGAUCCUAACUGAGUAGUACCCACGGAUGAUGUACAAACUACAGAGAACUUAUCAUACGAGGAAGUUCCGAUUGCCAUCCUAGACCGACAAAUCCGCAAGCUGCGGAAUAAGGAGGUAGCCUCCGCGAAAGUACUUUGGAGAAACAAUAAUGUGGAAGAAAUGACUUGGGAAGCCGAGGAAAGCAUGAAGUAUAAAUAUCCCUACUUAUUUCCUCCUACAGAAAAGGAUUCAACCGAGACAUCAUAAUCAUAAGGUAUGUGUAUAAAUUCUUACGUGGGUCAUGAGAGGCUGUCAUCGUUAUUCAUAAUUAUGGUCCUGAAUGUCGUUAGAUUAUUAAGCUCCUACGGGGAGAGUUGAUAGUGGUGUUUUUACAGAGAUGAUCUUGCCAAAGUUAUAUAGAUCACGGGGAGUUGAACAUUCGAGGAUGAAUGUUUCUAAGGGGGAAAGGAUGUUACAUCUCGCAUUUUCGUACAUUCCAAUUUCGCUUUUAGUUAACCGACGUAGACACGGGGAUGAGAUCAUCUUGAUGUACUUAAGCUAUUUAUAACAAGCGGAAAAAAUAAGUUCCAUGAAGGAUAAAGGAUGCACGAAUUAGGGAAAAGGAGUUUCGUUGAAAGUGGCCAAUUUGGGAUAAAAUACGGGUUAAGCGAUAAUACCCGAUAAUUAUAAACUAGUACCAUGCAAGGUACCAUAUGACCAUGGUAGUAUAAUAUAUAAAGUAAAUAUGAAGUAUUUUAAAAAAAAAUAAUAAAAUAAUUAGAAUUUUAGGUAAUUGUGAUAAUUCUUAAAUUAUGCGGGUAAUAGAUUAAUUAUCGGAUAACGAAAUAUUACCCGAUUAACUAAUAAGUGGAUAAAUUAAUAAGACUACACCCAAAAAGAACGUGGCAGCCAAUCCUUUUCCAAACAAUGACUCAUGGUCAUGUUGGAAUAGGUGGCUACCUAAGGAAUUGAUUGAAUUUAAUACGUAGCUUCUUGGUCUUAAAAAUGUUAGGCCCCACGUAGUCAAUUCAAGCUUUAAACAAAGCAAAUUUUCCAUUUCUCAUGAACAACCACCAACAGAAUGACAAGCUCCCACAAGAAAACGUUUUCUUCAUUUCAAAACCAAGUCAAGUUCGUUUCAAUUUCAAGUAAAUUCAGUUUAAAUUUCGCGAAAGCAGAUUCAUUCAAAUAAUUCAAGAAACAGGUAUGUUAAGGCUAAGCCCUUCCUUCAUUUUGGCAUGAUCUUGUAAUUACAUGAGUUUGAUAAUGCGACAUAAAGAGAAGUUCAUACUUCCAAAUUUAUAUACAUUAUCUUACUCUCAUAAAUUAUAGUAUUUUUCCACUUCCAAUAAUGAAUUAAAACAAUUUGUGCAGUGCUCCAUUUACUUACUGGAAAAACGCACAUCACUUUUAAAAGAGUGGAAGGAACUUUUUAAAAGACAAUAAAAAUCUCAAAAUUUUAUAGCUAUCCACUCUAUGACUCAUAUAUAAGUAGUUCCUCCAAGAUAUAAUAUUUGUUGGCCCGGUUAUGAUUUAUAUUGUUGUUGUUGUCUAUAAAGUUUUUGGAACAACUUAAAGUUGCUUUCUCACUUAGUCAUAUGAUUUAUAUUGUUAUUGUCGUGUAUAAAGUUUUUGGAACAACUUAAAGUUACUUUCUCACUUAGUCACUAUAAUUAAUAAUUUCCUAAGUCCGCAAGUAUGUAGGUAAAUGUACUUCAACAGCUAUUUUUGUUAUAUACUUGCCCUUGUCUAGAUUCCAACAGACUUUAGUAACAGCUACAACGAUGACAUUCACAUUCACAGGACUUCAGAUUCAUUUGAGUAUUUCCUUCUAUUAGUCAACAGAGCAGAGAAGUUACAUAUAUACAGUAUUAAAAGUAUUUUUAUUACCAUCGAGCUAUAAUCGAUGGGCAGGCUCCUAUUGGGCAACCUCUGAUCAGAUGGUAAGUUAUAUGACGAUCCUAUUGUGGCCGAGCGCAUAUGGGCGAGCCCAGUUGAUCGAGAUACAGAGCCUAGUAUGGUCGAGCGCUUAUGAGCGAGCCUACUAAGGCAGAGCAGAUAUAUAUGUAUACCGAGCCUUAUAGGGUCGGACAACUAUUUUACUUACUAUAUUGAGAGAAUUGAGUCAGUAUUAUCAGAUGAGCAUAUCUUCGAGUUUUCUUUGGCUCCCGGUUGUUCUCAGUUGUUAUAUUAUCAAUUCAAUUUCAGUUUUAGUUUCAGUAUAUUGCCGUACAUACUCGGUACAUUAUUUCGUACGGACGUCCCUUUCUGGGGACGCUGCAUUUUAUGUAUGCAGGGUCAGACAGACAGACGGGUAGACCUCCUCAGUAGGUGUUGCCCGAGAUCAGCUUUAUCAGUAAGCUCCCCUUCUUUCGGAGUUACCGGGUCUAGCAGUGUGGUGUGCAUCUUGUGUAUAUAUGUAGAUAGGUUAUGGGUAGGUCGGGGCCCUGUUCCGAUCAUAGUACAUCUAUUAUUAGAGGCUUGUAGAUAUGUCGUGUCAGUUAAUACCGUAUGUUGGUCUGGUAGGCCCUGUACGUAUAUUUUGUUAGCUUGUCAGUUGUAGUAAAUGUGACGGCCUUGUCGGCCCAGCCUUAUGUUGAUGGUUAGUCAGUAUUAGUCUCUAUUUAGUUUUAUAUUUUACAUCGCACAUUUUCUUGCAAGCCAUGUCCAAAAUUAUGACAUUACUUGUUCAAAGUCUCUGAGUCACAGGUGAUGCGCAAGGAUAGUUGAGGCACUGAGUGCCAGUCUCGCUCCCAGGUUCGGGGCUUGACAAUAAUGGACCGCAAACUCAUGAAGAGAAGUGCUGGUAGUGGAAAAUACGACGCAGAAUGUGAUCACAUAGCUGCAAUGCAGUCCACAAAACCACAAUGCGACGAUGGACUGGAAACUAGGGUUUUGAAGUGCGAUGGGCAUGAAGAGAAUGCGCACCGCAUGUCUGAUUUGCGAUAGAAAUGCGGUCGCAUACUUGACCUAAAAGGGCAUUUUUGUCCGUUUUCUAUCUCGAUUUUUGUCCCUCUAUAAAUAGAUUUAUUGUGAUUUUGUGGGCUCAUCUGGUCUGACUUUGAAGCUACAAUACAAGGCAUUAGUAUUCCUCUCUUUUGGAAACUUUUGGGUCAAGAAUCUUUCACUUUGUAAGCUUUAUUGCAUCAAAUAGUGUCUUCUUUUUGUAUUUUAGCAUGUGUAGCAAACUUUAAAUACCAAGGUUGUGGACCCUAAAUGGGUGUUAUGUUAAUGGGUGUUUUACAUUGAAUAUGUAUAUAAUGGUUGGUUGAUAUUUAUUUAUUUCUCAUUUUUC